rnacentral:rRNA from 1 species
UACGUAGGGUGCGAGCGUUGUCCGGAAUUAUUGGGCGUAAAGGGCUCGUAGGCGGUUUGUCGCGUCGGGAGUGAAAACCCAGGGCUUAACCCUGGGCUGGCUUCCGAUACGGGCAGACUAGAGGUAUGCAGGGGAGAACGGAAUUCCUGGUGUAGCGGUGAAAUGCGCAGAUAUCAGGAGGAACACCGGUGGCGAAGGCGGGUCUCUGGGCAAUUCCUGACGCUGAGGCGCGAAAGCGUGGGGAGCAAACGGG